UUACGGUCAUAUCACAUUGAAACCCCGGUUCUCGAACGAUUAUCGAAGUUAAGCAACGUCUCGCCUGGUCAGUACCUAUAUGGGUGACUGGUUUGGAAUACCAGGUGCUGCAAG